GAGCACUCUAGCGAGACUGCCGUUGACAAAACGGAGGAAGGUGGGGACGACGUCAAAUCAUCAUGCCCCUUAUGUCCUGGGCCACACACGUACUACAAUGGCGGUCAACAAAGAGAGGCAAUACCGCGAGGUGGAGCAAAUCUCAAAAAGCCGUCCCAGUUCGGAUUGCAGGCUGCAACCCGCCUGCAUGAAGUUGGAAUCGCUAGUAAUCGCGGAUCAGCAUGCCGCGGUGAAUACGUUCCCGGGCCUUGUACACACCGCCCGUCACACCAUGAGAGUCGGGAACACCCGAAGUCCGUAGCCUAACCGCAAGGGGGGCGCGGCCGAAGGUGGGUUCGAUAAUUGGGGUGAAGUCGUAACAAGGUAGCCGUAUCGGAAGGUGCGGCUGGAUCACCUCCUUUCUAAGGAGA
rnacentral:rRNA from 1 species